rnacentral:rRNA from 1 species
AUUGAACGCUGGCGGCAUGCCUUACACAUGCAAGUCGAACGGCAGCAUGAUCUAGCUUGCUAGAUUGAUGGCGAGUGGCGAACGGGUGAGUAAUACAUCGGAACGUGCCCUGUAGUGGGGGAUAACUAGUCGAAAGAUUAGCUAAUACCGCAUACGACCUGAGGGUGAAAGUGGGGGACCGCAAGGCCUCAUGCUAUAGGAGCGGCCGAUGUCUGUUUAGCUAGUUGGUGAGGUAAAGGCUCACCAAGGCGACGAUCAGUAGCUGGUCUGAGAGGACGAUCAGCCACACUGGGACUGAGACACGGCCCAGACUCCUACGGGAGGCAGCAGUGGGGAAUUUUGGACAAUGGGCGAAAGCCUGAUCCAGCAAUGCCGCGUGUGUGAAGAAGGCCUUCGGGUUGUAAAGCACUUUUGUCCGGAAAGAAAUGGCUCUGGUUAAUACCUGGGGUCGAUGACGGUACCGGAAGAAUAAGGACCGGCUAACUACGUG